rnacentral:rRNA from 1 species
CAGCCGCCGCGGUAAUACGGAGGGCGCGAGCGUUACCCGGAUUUACUGGGCGUAAAGGGCGUGUAGGCGGCCUGGGGCGUCCCAUGUGAAAGGCCACGGCUCAACCGUGGAGGAGCGUGGGAUACGCUCAGGCUAGAGGGUGGGAGAGGGUGGUGGAAUUCCCGGAGUAGCGGUGAAAUGCGCAGAUACCGGGAGGAACGCCGAUGGCGAAGGCAGCCACCUGGUCCACUUCUGACGCUGAGGCGCGAAAGCGUGGGGAGCAAACCGGAUUAGAUACCCCAGUAGUCCCUGUCUCUUAUAA